rfam:Vibrio rumoiensis 1S-45 1S-45_contig_13, whole genome shotgun sequence.
GGGGCUGAUUUAGGAUUCGACGGGAAUUUUGAAGUCUUAGGUGCAUGUCGUGGGGCGGUUUGCCACGUAAAAAGCCGCAAAAAAAUAGUCGCAAACGACGAAAACUACGCACUAGCAGCUUAAUAACCUGCUGAGAGCCUUUCUGCCCUAGCUUCCGUUUGUAAGACGGGGAACAACAGAGAGUCAAACCCAAACGAACUCGUGUGGCGUCUCCAGCCUGAGAGACAAAGCAUUAAAAAUAAUUCAGGAUAGCCAUCAGCUAGCGUGUCGGUUCGCAGGUCGGUGGUGAAAUUAAAGAUCGACUAAACAUGUAGUACCAACGGUGAAUGAUUUUCGGACGCGGGUUCAAAUCCCGCCAGCUCCACCA